rnacentral:miRNA from 1 species
UCUGUUGAGUGUUUGCUGUGU